ACAUUCGCACACGCACGAGGAUCAGAGUAGAGUUCCUUUUGCUUCAGUUACUUUCUUUGAGGAUUCACAAAGACGAAAGCUUGAAAGGAGUUUCGGUCUUUGACAAGCAGAAACAAUAUUCUACAAUGAUGAGAGAUGAAAUUGCACCUCACCCUUUAUCCAAGCCACCAGGCUGGAGACAUUCAGUGGGCUGCUCUGGAUCAAUCGUGACCAACCGUGUAGGAAAAGAAAGCCCAUCUCCUUGACUGUAACAGAAAAAAGUAUUAUUUACACCCAUUCAUUUUAACAAGCAAAAAAUUAUAUUACUGAACUAUAUUUUUGGAGUGUUAUCAGUAUAAGUGAACCAUUAAAUUAGAAUAGUUUCACGAAAACUUGCAUGAACAAGCAGAAGUAAGCUCAGAUUAAUAUUGAGGUUCACCUGGUAAAGACAGGUAGCAGCCAGUACUUCUUCUCGUCUCCGAACACCUGAGCGAUGUUCUUACUGAAGCCCAGAGAAAAUCCAUUUUUAUCAGGGCCAUUUCUGAAGACCGGGGCUCUGAAUGCUUCUGCAGAUAAAGAACAAGCCAAGGAAAGGGUCAAAUCCAUAUACUGUUAUUCAGAAUUUAGGGGUCAGAAUUUUGGAAUUAAUGGAGGAAUUAAUACAACUAUUCAACAAGGGUGCAUUAAAUGUCCCAUAAAAAUAUAUUAAAAAUUAAAAUGUGAUUAAAAAAAAAAAGUACAAAAAUAAAAAAAAAUCUGGAUUGCACUGACA
rnacentral:lncRNA from 1 species